UUCAAUAUAAGGAGGUUCAUCAAAAUCAAUCCAUAAAAAUCAAGGUAUGCAUCAAAUUAAAGUUUCUUUAGGAUAAGAUACUGAAUAUCUAAAGCUCCCCCUCAAAAGAUGCAUUCUUCUUUAAUCAUUCUUUUCUUUGGUUGAAUUUCAGAUUUUAGUGAUAAACGUUAAUAACACUGAAAUUCUAUGAUAUCGAGAAUGUAGAGUAAUCUAGUAUUAUUCAAAAUUUGUAGCAAUUACUCUUUCUAAUCCUUUAAGAACAAGGUAUGCUUCCUCUUAAACUUUGAGAAAAUGUACUGAAAUAUUAAUCAAAAUGAUUCAUUUGAAGCUCAGUUUCUUUCAAAAGCAUUUACAUUUUCUUUCUUUUAGACUCAUUUGAGUGAGGUGAAAUAUUUCUAGCUUUAAGAUCAUUCACUCUAUUAAUGGAGGUCUUUAAUAAUGUAGGAGAGAAAAACAUAUAGAUGAUCAUUGACGUAUGUAUAUUUAUAGAAUUCAAUUUCUUAAUCACAGUUUUUCAGCUAUGUAUACAUGAAGCUCAAUAAAUUUUUUAAAUAUUAAAAUAAGGUCAUAUAUUUUAGAAAUAUUUACUUGCAAUCAAGAUCAUCGUAAGACAUAUCAUUUGGAUCAAUACUAGUAUACUUUGAAGAUAAGAAAUGAUAUGUUUCGGAUGCGUAUCGGGGCAAUCAAAAUAAAUUCUGUUUUUCUUAUAUUAACAUUUUAUUUAGUAAUCAUAUGGAGUUUAAACUUUUAUACAAAAUCAGAUCCUGAAUUACAUAGGAUUUUCAAUAGAGGCUUUCUAAGUCAUAAUUUGAGACAUGUAUCUUCCACAUUGUGGCUCAUCUUAAAUUAUUACGAUUGAAAAAUACAUAUUUCAAUACCAUUAAAGCACCUUCAGAAUCUUUGUAUUUAUGUUGAGUUUUGGUAUGAGUUAGCACAUUAUAUAUCAAAGUCUAGCAAGUUGAAGGAUAAAACAAAUUCAAUUCAUUUUGCCUAAAUAGAGAUAUCCUUUUCUUCUCCUUUCUACAAUUUUAUUCGACUUUCAGAUUUUAGAGAUGAUUAUGAAUGACAAAUCUGAAAUUUCUUUUCAAUAGAACCAAACAAAAGAUGUUAUGUAGUAACUCAACCAUUCAAUCAAAUUGUCCAAGUAUGUAGCAUUACAAAAUAUUGAGAAGCCAUAAAUCAAGACAUCAUACCAUAUGCAAAAUAUAUCAUGUGUUAAGUCAUGCAUUAAAAUAUUAAAAGCAAGCAUGUCAAGGAUCCAAAUCAAUAUUUUUCAAAUAAACUCUCCCUAUUUAAAUAUACUUUUGCACUGAUUUCAUCCUUAAAGUGUGUUUUCAAGUGAUUAGAAAAAUUGACUUGAUUCUUCUUAUAUACUUUCAUUAACUUUGUCUUUCAUUUUUACUUUCUUAUGCUCUAUAUUCUAUUUGCUCCCUAUCCGGUGGAGUUGGGAAGGGGCACGAGGUACUACCACUAGCCUCCCUCUUGUGCCGUCCCUAAUAUGCCCUACACCGAAUAGUUGGGUCAAAUAGUGCCGGGUACUACCACUAGCCUCCCCAUUGGCACCAUCCCUAUGAUGAGCAAUAUAGAAAGAUUAAAAUGUUUACUUCAAAUCCUCCCUGUUUAAGUGUAAUUAAUUACGAAUUUUAUCUCUUCCAAAUGUGCUGAAUAUAUUAUGCUUGUUUUGCUUUUCCUUAAGAUUGGAGUGUUUGCCUCUACUUGGAUUUUACUUCUCUUGAAUAAUAUCCAUUUUCUUUUCUUUAUCUCUCUCUCUUUUUGUUAUUCUCAAGUAAUUUACACGAAAGAGCAGAAUAAAGAAUUAAUCUUGUGUAUCAUAUAUAUGUGUAUCAUGCAAACAACAUUUUCAUUAUGCUCAUGGAUUUAUAAUUUCACACAAGUUAUUUUAGAUCAAAAUUUUAAGCAUAAACUUGUGUAUUUCAUGGUUAUGACAUAUGCAAAGAUAUAUUCUAGUUUUGGCGAACCAUGAAACAAUCUCUAAAAGUAUAAGUCAAUCAAUUAUAGACAUGAUAUCAAAAAUUAAUAAUUAAAGACCUUAAUCAUGCCAUAAUAAGAUUUAAGUUAUUGACUUGGCUCAAUUAAUUUAUGAGAGAAGUAUCUAGAAUUACCAUUUCAUUCUGCAUUCUUCAGUCAAAUACCUACUAGAUUUCUUAUGUAUGAACUUUUGGCUGAAG
rnacentral:lncRNA from 1 species